rnacentral:rRNA from 1 species
AAACUUUCAACAACGGAUCUCUUGGUUCUGGCAUCGAUGAAGAACGCAGCGAAAUGCGAUACGUAGUGUGAAUUGCAGAAUUCAGUGAAUCAUCGAAUCUUUGAACGCACAUUGCGCCCGCCAGCACUCUGGCGGGCAUGCUUGUCCGAGCGUCACGC